rnacentral:misc_RNA from 1 species
AGCAGCCGCGGUAAUUCCAGCUCCAAUAGCGUAUAUUAAAGUUGUUGCAGUUAAAAGCUCGUAGUUGAACUUCAGGCCUGUCCAGAUGGUCCGCCUUAAUUGGUGUGUACUGUCCUUGGGUGGGUCCUACCUUCUGGCGAAGCGGCAUGGCCUUAAUUGGUUGUGUUGGGGAACCAGGACUUUUACUGUGAAAAAAAUUAGAGUGUUCAAAGCAGGCAAAUAUGCUCGAAUACAUUAGCAUGGAAUAAUGGAAUAGGACGAUGGUUCUAUUUUGUUGGUUCUAGGACCGUUGUAAUGAUUAAAUAGGGAUAGUUGGGGGCAUUAGUAUUCAAUUGUCAGAGGUGAAAUUCUUGGAUUUACUGAAGACUAACUACUGCGAAAGCAUUUUGCCAAGGAUGUUUUCAUUAAUCAAGAACGAAAGUUAGGGGAUCGAAGACGAUCAGAUACCGUCGUAGUCUUAACCAUAAACUAUGCCGACUAGGAAUCGGGCGAUGUUGACAAAAUGACUCGCUCGGCACCU